rnacentral:rRNA from 1 species
AGAGUUUGAUCCUGGCUCAGGAUGAACGCUAGCGACAGGCCUAACACAUGCAAGUCGAGGGGCAGCAUUUCUAGCUUGCUAGAAGAUGGCGACCGGCGCACGGGUGAGUAACGCGUAUGCAACCUACCUUAUACUGGGGGAUAGCCCAGAGAAAUCUGGAUUAAUACCGCAUAACAAUGUUUUAUCGCAUGGUAAGAUAUUAAAACUCCGGUGGUAUAAGAUGGGCAUGCGUAGCAUUAGUUAGUUGGUGAGGUAACGGCUCACCAAGACGAUGAUGCUUAGGGGGUCUGAGAGGAUAGUCCCCCACACUGGUACUGAGACACGGACCAGACUCCUACGGGAGGCAGCAGUGAGGAAUAUUGGUCAAUGGACGCAAGUCUGAACCAGCCAUGUCGCGUGCAGGAUGACGGCCCUAUGGGUUGUAAACUGCUUUUUUUACAGGAAUAAUUGUCUCUACGUGUAGAGAUUUGAAUGUACUGUAUGAAUAAGGAUCGGCUAACUCCGUGCCAGCAGCCGCGGUAAUACGGAGGAUUCGAGCGUUAUCCGGAUUUAUUGGGUUUAAAGGGUCCGUAGGCGGUUCUUUAAGUCAGUGGUGAAAUCCCAGAGCUCAACUCUGGAACUGCCAUUGAAACUGAAGAACUUGAAUAUGGUUGAGGUAGGCGGAAUACGUUAUGUAGCGGUGAAAUGCAUAGAUAUAACGUAGAACACCAAUUGCGAAGGCAGCUUACUAAACCAUUAUUGACGCUGAUGGACGAAAGCGUGGGGAGCGAACAGGAUUAGAUACCCUGGUAGUCCACGCCGUAAACGAUGAUCACUCGAUGUCGGCAAUACAAUGUCGGUGUCUUAGCGAAAGUGUUAAGUGAUCCACCUGGGGAGUACGUUCGCAAGAAUGAAACUCAAAGGAAUUGACGGGGGCCCGCACAAGCGGUGGAGCAUGUGGUUUAAUUCGAUGAUACGCGAGGAACCUUACCUGGGCUUAAAUGCAGAAUGACUUUUCUGGAAACAGAUUUUUCCUUCGACGGUCUGCAAGGUGCUGCAUGGUUGUCGUCAGCUCGUGCUGUGAGGUGUCGGGUUAAGUCCCAUAACGAGCGCAACCCCUAUCUUUAGUUGCUAGCAGGUAAUGCUGAGGACUCUAGAGAGACUGCCGGUGCAAACCGUGAGGAAGGUGGGGAUGACGUCAAGUCAGCACGGCCCUUACGUCCAGGGCUACACACGUGCUACAAUGGCAGAUACAAAGGGCAGCUACUUGGUGACAAGAUGCUAAUCUCUAAAAGUCUGUCUCAGUUCGGAUCGAAGUCUGAAACUCGACUUCGUGAAGCUGGAAUCGCUAGUAAUCGGAUAUCAGCCAUGAUACGGUGAAUACGUUCCCGGGCCUUGUACACACCGCCCGUCAAGCCAUGGAAGUUGGGGGUACCUGAAGUCCGUCACCGAAAGGAGCGGCCUAGGGUAAAACCGAUAACUAGGGCUAAGUCGUAACAAGGUAACC